GACGAACGCUGGCGGCGUGCCUAAUACAUGCAAGUAGAACGCAGUUGCGAACGGGUGAGUAACGCGUAGGUAACUGCCUCAUAGCGGGGGAUAACUAUUGGAAACGAUAGCUAAUACCGCAUACUUUGAGAUGGACCUGCGUUGUAUUAGCUAGUUGGUGAGGUAAAGGCUCACCAAGGCGACGAUACAUUGCCGACCUGAGAGGGUGAUCGGGCACAAUGGGACUGAGGCACGGCCCCGGAUCCUACGGGAGGCAGCCGUAGGGGAACUUCGGCAAUGGACGGAAAGCUUACCGAGCAACGCCGCGUGAGUGAAGAAGGUUUUCGGAUCGUAAAGCUCUGUUGUUAGAGAAGCGGUAACUAAACAGAAAGGGACGGCUAACUACGUGCCAGCAGCCGCGGUAAUAC
rnacentral:rRNA from 1 species